UGGGAAUUUUGGACAAUGGGCGAAAGCCUGAUCCAGCAAUGCCGCGUGUGUGAAGAAGGCCUUCGGGUUGUAAAGCACUUUUGUCCGGAAAGAAAUCCUUGGCUCUAAUACAGUCGGGGGAUGACGGUACCGGAAGAAUAAGCACCGGCUAACUACGUGCCAGCAGCCGCGGUAAUACGUAGGGUGCAAGCGUUAAUCGGAAUUACUGGGCGUAAAGCGUGCGCAGGCGGUUUGCUAAGACCGAUGUGAAAUCCCCGGGCUCAACCUGGGAACUGCAUUGGUGANUGGCAGGCUAGAGUAUGGCAGAGGGGGGUGAGAAUUCCACGUGUAGCAGUGAAAUGCGUAGAGAUGUGGAGGAAUACCGAUGGCGAAGGCAGCCCCUGGCAAGUACUGACGCUCAUGCACGAAAGCGUGGGGAGCAAAC
rnacentral:rRNA from 1 species